rnacentral:misc_RNA from 1 species
UCUCCGUUGGUGAACCAGCGGAGGGAUCAUUACAGGACUCGCAAGACUCCUACAACCCUGUGAACUUAACUAUAAGCACGUUGCUUCGGCGGGUGUCUCGGAGGGGGUUCUCCCUCCCCGAGACGCUAAACCCGCCGGCAGCCUACUAUACUCUGUCUCUUUGCGUUGGCAUCUCGACUACAAUCAAACAAGUUAAAACUUUCAACAACGGAUCUCUUGGUUCUG